rnacentral:rRNA from 1 species
UCGAGAAUCUUCGGCAAUGGGCGCAAGCCUGACCGAGCGACGCCGCGUGGAGGACGAAGGCCUUCGGGUUGUAAACUCCUGUCGAGGGGGAACAAGGGGCGGUGCAGAGCCGUCCUUGAGUGAACCCUGGAGGAAGCACGGGCUAAGUUCGUGCCAGCAGCCGCGGUAAGACGAACCGUGCGAACGUUAUUCGGAAUCACUGGGCUUAAAGCGCGUGUAGGCGGCCCGGCACGUCCGUCGCUGAAAGCCCCCGGCUCAACCGGGGAACGGGCGCGGAUACGACCGGGCUGGAGGGGGGUAGGGGGCGCCGGAACGGCCGGUGGAGCGGUGAAAUGCGUUGAGAUCGGCCGGAACGCCCGUGGCGAAAGCGGGCGCCUGGACCCCGCCUGACGCUGAGACGCGAAAGCCAGGGGAGCGAACGG